UUUCCUGUGCUCGCCCCUUCC
rnacentral:miRNA from 1 species